GCCAGGUACACUGGAGGAGGCCUGUAAUCCCAGCAACUGAGGAGGCUGAGGCAGGAGGAUAGCAAGUUGGAGACCAGCCUGGGCAACUUAGCAAGACCCUGUCUCCA
rnacentral:sRNA from 1 species